UUUGUUAUCGCGACAAUCCAUCACUGCGCAUGCGCAAGGACUAUAUAACGCGUGUUCGCCUGUUCGUUCUUCCCAGUUCCUUCCUCUUUCUUCAGGUAUGUGGGCUGUUGGGAAAAUGGAGCUUUGCUCUCGUGCAUACUCUAAUCUCGACCACGCUGAAAACCAAAUGGAGAACUUCACGUUCAUCAGGCUUUGUUUCAUAAAUCUUACACACAAUCAAACAGAUCAUGCAGAACCAAAUGGAUAACUUCACAUUCAUCAGGCUUUGUUUCAUAAGUCUUACACACAAUCAAACAGGAAGAAUUAUGUAAUUCAAGAGGACCCUUUACAUGAUGAGUGACCCUUGAUGGAUGGCAGCAACCUGUGAAGGGCUUUGAAAGACUUAUACCCCGAAGGCCCUUCAGUGCCAAACCUACAUGGAGAAGUGCAUAAUGGCUCUCUGCUAAGCAGUCCACAUUUACCAAUAAUGGGGAAGAACCUGAUUUGCUUUUUUUUUUUUUUUUUUUUUUUUAAAGAACAGUUGCCUUUUAAUUCUGAGCUGCGAAUGUUCCAGGAUGUUUAAGUGAAUAAUUUAACUUAUUUCCCCUGGAGCUUGUACUUCCUAAUUGUUUUUACAAUAAACUCAAAAUAUCAA